UACGGAGGGUGCAAGCGUUAAUCGGAAUUACUGGGCGUAAAGCGUGCGCAGGCGGUUUGUUAAGUCUGCUGUGAAAUCCCCGAGCUCAACUUGGGAAUUGCAGUGGAUACUGGCAAGCUGGAGUACGGUAGAGGAAGGUGGAAUUCCCGGUGUAGCAGUGAAAUGCGUAGAGAUCGGAAAGAACACCAACGGCGAAAGCACUCUGCUGGGCCGACACUGACACUGAGAGACGAAAGCUAGGGGAGCGAAUGGG
rnacentral:rRNA from 1 species